CUCCUUUUUCUCUUUCUCAGCCAAUCAAAUCGCUUCGAAUCAGCGCCACCACCGGUUGGCGCCAAACAGAAUAGUUGAUUUCAUUUUCUUUUUCCGAAUUAAUCAAAACAAUUAACCAAUUCUCUUACAAUUAUUUUCUCAUUUCGCUUUAAUUAAUUAUUAUGACGACUAUUUAUUGAACACAAUAAUAUUGAUUGGAAUAUUACAAUUGGAUUAGAAAAUUAAACUGCGUCGGAGGAACAAUUUUGGUGCUGAUCUAAGCCAAGGAUGAAAAAUCUUUUCUUCCCUAUCACCAGUUACUUGUUUCUUUUAUGACGAUCACCAAAAUAAGAGUAUUUAAUUUCUUUUUUUUGCGAUUAUCUUAAUUGUUACUCAAAUUCUGAUUAACUGUAAGUAUAAAUUUUCUAUUAUAAAAAAAUAUCAACUAAACAGGAAGAAAUGAGACAAGGAAAAGAAAUCAACCUUCUCUAUCUUAUGUUAGUUCACAAGAAAAAAAGCUAUAUUUCUAUUCUGUGUAGUAGUAAAAAAUAUAUUUACUAACUGAUGAACAUUUAUUCGUGGAGGAGUUGACGACCAUGGUUAACUUUCAUUGAGAAAUAUUAAUCAACUACAUCGACUGAGCAAAUAUCCACCAACGCAUCAUAAUAUUGUUAUGUUAAAUGUUAAUUGUUUCCACUUUCCAACAGUUUAAUUUCUCAAUUGUUAAUGAAGAAUUAACCUUGACCGGUAAAUU